GAGGAUGGGCCUGCGCCCGAUUAGCUAGUUGGUGGGGUAAGAGCCUACCAAGGCGACGAUCGGUAGCUGGUCUGAGAGGAUGAUCAGCCACACUGGGAUUGAGAACGGCCCAGACUCCUACGGGGGGCAGCAGUGAGGAAUUUUCCGCAAUGGAGGCAACUCUGACCGAGCAACGCCGCGUGCAGGAAGACGCUUUUCGGAGUGUAAACUGCUUUUCUGGGGGACGAGAACAAGGACGGUACCCCAGGAAGAAGUCCCGGCUCACUACGUGCCAGCAGCCGCGGUAAUACGUAGGGGGCGAGCGUUGUCCGGAGUUACUGGGCGUAAAGGGCAUGUAGGCGGUCCUCCAAGUUGGCGGUGACAGUCCUCGGCUUCACUGAGGAAGGCUCGCCAAGACUGGGGGACUUGAGGGUCAGAGAGGGACACAGAAUUUCCGGGUGGAGUGGUGAAAUGCGUAGAGAUCCGGAGGAAUACCACUGGCGCAGGCAGUGUCCUGGCUGACGACUGACGCUGAGGUGCGAAAGCGAGGGGAGCGAACGGGAUUAGAUACCCCGGUAGUCCUCGCCGUAAACGAUGACCACUAGGUGUGGGAGGUAUCGACCCCUUCCGUGCCGUCGCAUACGCAAUAAGUGGUCCGCCUGGGGAGUACGGUCGCAAGAUUAAAACUCAAAGGAAUUGACGGGGACCCGCACAAGCAGCGGAGCGUGUGGUUUAAUUCGAUGCAACGCGAAGCACCUUACCAGUAGUUGACAUGCCUUUGCACCGCUCGUUACGGAGCGUCCUCUUCGGAGGCGGAGGCACAGGUGCUGCAUGGCUGUCGUCAGCUCGUGUCGUGAGAUGUUGGGUUAAGUCCCGCAACGAGCGCAACCCUCGUCCUCGGUUAGGAUGUCCGAGGAGACUGCC
rnacentral:rRNA from 1 species